AGAGGAACGGGCGCAGAGAUUGGGUUGGUGCAUGCAGACUACCCCGCAAGUGGAUGGGAUUCUAGUGCUUGACCUGCCACCACAACAGUAAUGCUGGGUGCCACUGCAAGCUUCGUGGAGCAAACGCCCAGGUGGGUCCUGGUACGUCACGGACAGCCUGGAACCCUGCACUGCAUCCUGCGGGAUUCCCAGUACCCCUGGAUGAGCUGGUACCAACAGGAUCGCCAGGGGCAACUGCAGGUGCUGGCCACUCUGCGGGGUACCGGAGAUGAGGAGGUCACAUCCCUCCCGGGAGCAGAUUACCGGGUCAAGAGGGUCAACAGUUCCCAGCUGAGGCUGCCUGUGGCCAACGUGACCCAGGGCAGAAUGCUGUAUUGUGCCUGCAGCAAAGACACAGUGAGAAAGUCACCAUGACCAAUGAAUAAAAACCAUCCUGUUACCAGCUACAGACCCGCCCUCCACCUCCUCUGCCCUGACAGCCCUCCCAAGCCAGCCCCCUCCCGCCCCAGGUCCUCCCGCCCGGCCACUUCUCUACAAGUGUGGCCCUUCCUAAACACUGAGCAGCACAGUCAUUUAACCUCAGGCUCCAGAGGGCUGGGUGCGGACCUUGUUUCUGCCUCUUGUGAGCUUUGGGGAAGAUUUAAUCUCCCUGAAACUUUAAGUUUUUGUGGCUGUGAAGCACAAACAGUAACUCUACCCAGCUCAGGCUUGCUGCCAGGAUUGAACAACAGUAUUCAGGUGAAGCCUCCAGUACACUACAGAGGCACAGAGGCUGCACUUAAUGAGCAUCAGCUGUUUACUCGGCAGUCUGCAUGCAUAACACAGCAUACUGCACUUCAAUGCCUGUGUCAAUACCCGGAGGGGUGCUGGAAAGCAACCUGGAGAAAUUCUGGGGGCCCAAAAAGUGGUAGAAUGAAUACCUCAAUGUGUGGCUGCCUACUCACACCCCCGUCCCCCGGAAUACACAAACACCCACAUUUCCAAGUAGACCUCCAUUCUCGAUACCCACCAUCCCCUAAGCUGCUCAACCCAGUCUCAAGUUGUCUUUUUAAAAGGAAGAUGCUCAGAGAGGGCCUGUCCUAGAAAGGACCAGGGUCUGCAAUCCAUAGAGGAGGGCUUUACCAAAUAUUGACCUAAAAAGCCUUGGCCCAGAGCUGGGUCUGCACCUGGGUAAGGCCACGAGGAGUGAGCGCCGAACCAGGAGUCUCCAACCCCCAACGGCAGAACCAGCCGGGACGUGCGCGGUGGGAGCGGCCCCUGAGACCCCCGCAGAGAUGGGGAACCAAGACUGUAGCUGAGCCACCUGGCUUCUGAGAGCUUCUCGAUCCCCGGGGGUGUAGGCCACGAGCAGAUACCCGGGGUGCAAGGUGGGAGUGAGUGGACGAGAAGGAAUUUCAAGGGCAUCUGCGUCUGGUCUCCCGAUGUGGAUGUGGGAGGCUGUGGGCAGCGGGGCUGGCUGGCGCUUUCCUCAGCGCCUGCAGAGAGGGUGGAGCUCCUCUCCGUCAGGGGGCGCCAUCUGUCCACAGUUGAUCUGCGCAGUCAGAGGAACUGGCAUUACAGACGUUGGGCUUCCCUCAGCACCCCCCCCGCCACCCCAAACCCCCCAGUCAGCCGUUGUGGCGAACAUCUGCGCAGCUGUAGAGGACAAGAACGGUAAUGGAAGGAAGUCUAGAGCUUGCCCUAGGGCCCUGGGGACACCUGGAUUUCUGCGUUCUGCAUGCCUCCUGCUGGCACCUCUGAGAUCGCAGUCGCUGGAGGUCCUUGGCCAGAGGCCCCGCAAAGACUGCUAAAUACAGAGGAAAUGGCAAGACUGAGAGGCCCUGGGCCACCUGCUCUUAAAGGAAAGCCACGGCCUUCUGCUGGCAGCUCCAUUGCUGGGCUGGGUUCCCUUCAUCCCCAGUCCCUGAGAGCCUGGAGGCUUGCCGGCAGCAGUUCCCUUCUCUCCACCCUGAGCUGUGCCUCAAUACCCCUGCGGGGCCCUGUGGGGAUCAGCUGGCCCUCCUAGACUGGCAGGUGGCAGCGGGUCAAACAGUGCUUUUUGGUUGAAUGGGUUUCAUUACGGUGUUAUUUAGAUAAGGCAUCCUAUAUGAUGUGAGUCUCUUGCCUUCAGGCUGAUAGGAAUGAUCUGUCUAUGUCUCAGGCACUCUGAUUGAAAGCUAGGGCUCUUAACACCUCGUUAUGCAGUCUCUCUGCAUACUGAAUACACUACUGGUGGGACGAGGCAGGUGUUACCUGGCAAGCAUCUUUGCCCCCUUCCAGAAAGCCAAGAGACUAUUAACUACGGAGGAGAUGGCAGGGCAGGGAGGUCUUCACCACCUGGUGAUACCAUCAGGAGAGGCCUGCGUGGUCACAGAGCACAGGGAAA